rnacentral:rRNA from 1 species
GCGAAAGCCUGACGGAGCAACGCCGCGUGAGGGAGGAAGGCCUUAGGGUUGUAAACCUCUUUUCUCAGGGAAGAAGAUCUGACGGUACCUGAGGAAUCAGCAUCGGCUAACUCCGUGCCAGCAGCCGCGGUAAGACGGAGGAUGCAAGCGUUAUCCGGAAUUAUUGGGCGUAAAGCGUCCGUAGGCGGCUGUUCAAGUCUGCUGUCAAAGCCCACAGCUCAACUGUGGAGAGGCAGUGGAAACUGAAUAGCUAGAGUGUGGUAGGGGCAGAGGGAAUUCCUGGUGUAGCGGUGAAAUGCGUAGAUAUCAGGAAGAACACCAGUGGCGAAGGCGCUCUGCUGGGCCAUAACUGACGCUGAUGGACGAAAGCUAGGGGAGCG